rnacentral:rRNA from 1 species
AUGAGCUAUUCAAGGUCUAUUGGCUUUAUUGCUUAUGUGGUACUUCGACCGCGAAGCCUCGCUUAUGCACCGAGAAAGAUCGUAGAUAGAAAAGAUCUGUUAUGCACCAACGACGGCCCCUUCUCUUUACCUUUAUCGUCUCAUACCUUAGUCCAUUGCUGGCUUGAAUGUUGUCUCUCUUCUUCUUUGCUCGCGAGAGUGAAUAAGAGGAUGACCCACCGGGGGUGGAUGGAAUGA